UUUGCUUGCUUGUUACAAAUGAUCAAGGUCAUCUUGUUCUUCGACCUCUUCUGCAUUUUUGAGCCUAAAAGCCAAUGCAAAACCCUUGAACCUUGAAGAAAAACUUUCUCAUCCCUGGAACCUUAAGCUCAUUGAAAAAUCCUUAAUCUCCUUACCUUGAGUUGAGAUGAACACAUAUGUUAGGAGGAGGAGAAUGGUUUAAGUUUGGGGGAGUUUAUGAAAUAAGGGAGCAUUGAGAAAAUAAUAACAUGAGUCAAAAAGAAAGAAAAAAAAAAAGAAAGAAGAAGAAGAGAAAGAAAAAUGCAUUCAAUGAACAAGAGUUGGGAAAUAAGUUGAGAAGUGGUUUAUCCAAUUGUGAAGCAAAAAGAGAGACUAAUGNUAUAUCAUGAAGUAAAUUGUUUUCUCUCUUAGCUCAAGGUGCUUUGUUGUCCAGAAAAACCAACUUUUCUUCUUAGCCCAGCCACAAUACAAGCCUAAAAAAGUCCUUGUGAUGAU
rnacentral:lncRNA from 1 species